rnacentral:rRNA from 1 species
UGGGGAAUAUUGGACAAUGGGCGCAAGCCUGAUCCAGCCAUGCCGCGUGAGUGAUGAAGGCCCUAGGGUUGUAAAGCUCUUUCAGCGAGGAGGAUAAUGACGUUACUCGCAGAAGAAGCCCCGGCUAACUUCGUGCCAGCAGCCGCGGUAAUACGAAGGGGGCUAGCGUUGUUCGGAAUCACUGGGCGUAAAGCGCACGUAGGCGGACUUUUAAGUCAGGGGUGAAAUCCCGGGGCUCAACCUCGGAACUGCCUUUGAUACUGGAAGUCUGGAGUCCGAGAGAGGUGAGUGGAACUCCGAGUGUAGAGGUGAAAUUCGUAGAUAUUCGGAAGAACACCAGUGGCGAAGGCGGCUCACUGGCUCGGUACUGACGCUGAGGUGCGAAGGCGUGGGGAGCAAACAGGAUUAGAUACCCUGGUAGUCCACGCCGUAAACGAUGGAAGCUAGCCGUCAGGGUGCAUGCAUCUUGGUGGCGCAGUUAACGCAUUAAGCUUCCCGCCUGGGGAGUACGGUCGCAAGAUUAAAACUCAAAUGAAUUGAC